GCCAGAGGAGGCGAUCGUUAUCCGGAAUCACUGGGCGUAAAGCGUCUGUAGGUGGUGAUGCAAGUCACUGGUGCAAAACUCUGGCUCAACCGGAGGAAAGCCAGUGAAACUGCAUGACUAGAGUGUGGGAGAGGUAGAAGGAAUUCCCUGAGUAGCGGUGAAAUGCGUAGAUACAGGGAAGAACACCGGAGGCGAAAGCGUUCUACUGGAACACAACUGACACUGAGAGACGAAAGCUAGGGGAGCGAAUGGG
rnacentral:rRNA from 1 species